ensembl:lncRNA
GUGGUCAUGUUCCUCCUGUUUGGCUUCUUUAUUAUUUUAAACAUUGUGAACCUUGUUUACAUUUGUGGGUGUAAUAAAAAAGCAUCUAGCUUUGUAACAACUACUGACUCACACACAGCCUGGGUGUGUAUGUGAAAUCUUAAAGUUAUGCAAGAUGGAUUAAGGGAAGGAGGAACAGUAAACACAACUACGGUCUGUUACAGUAAACACAACUACGUCGAGCAGGCGAGUCUCGCCAAACAGACUGGACCAAGGAAAAGCGCAGAUAGAGAACUGUUGAUUGUUCCUGGGAUAGGCUCUGG